rnacentral:rRNA from 1 species
UACGUAGGGCGCAAGCGUUGUCCGGAAUUAUUGGGCGAAAGAGCUCGUAGGCGGCUUGUCACGUCGAUUGUGAAAGCCCGAGGCUUAACCUCGGGUCUGCAGUCGAUACGGGGCUAGCUAGAGUGUGGUAGGGGAGAUCGGAAUUCCUGGUGUAGCGGUGAAAUGCGCAGAUAUCAGGAGGAACACCGGUGGCGAAGGCGGGUCUCUGGGGCCGAUACUGACGCUGAGGAGCGAAAGCGUGGGG